UCCUGGCCCCGCCCCCAGGCAGAGCGGAGGCGCCGGGAGCGGUGUGAGCAGGCAGCGGGACCCUGGUGCGGAAGGCAGGAGCGGCCAGCGAGAGCACGAGAGGUACUCGUGGGAUUAGGGAUCGGGAGGCACCAGGCUCGGGCUGAAUACCCAACAAAGUAGCCUGGACGUGAACCCUUGUAGUGUGGGGAGGAACGGGACUAUUGGCUGCUUUCACUACCCGCACCCCACCCAACCUCCUGCCCCAGUCCAGCCCCAAGUCAGCACGUCCAGUGUUCUGUCUCCGGCUGGCAGCUCCCACUCCCUCCUCUGUGUGAGCAGAUUCAUAACUCCACUGAGUGGAUUCAUUGGUUCUGGGCCUUUCUCAGCAGUGCUGGCAACUUCUCCUGCUGCUGAGUGUGUGGGGCUCCCCCUAUUAGGGGCUCUCCUCUCCCAGUGUGACCUCUUUCCCAGCCUUUGCAGUCCUGGGUCUGGCCUGGGAGGAAACAUCUGUAACACUCCCUGGCAACAGAAAUAGGGUCAUGACCUCCAGAUGUGCUGGGAAGCAUCCAGCGCCUCCUCCUGGGGCAGCCAGGCCUUCCGGAUCUGUGGGGGCGGGGCACCCCCCUUUCCCCCCCAGUGACACAGGCUGCAAGGAAUGUCCUGGCCUCAAUGGACCUUGUGUGAAGAUGUGGGAUGGGGGGCAGAGCCCAAGUACACCCCUUAAGGCAGGGCCAGAACAAGAGGCAGCUCCUGAGCUGGGCUACACACAUUCCCAGAGCCCAGCUCACAGUGAAGGGCCCUCACAGACCCCUCUUGUUUCUCUCACUCUCCUUCCCACACUGUGGUCUAAGUCCAAGCCCACAUGUGCUCACAGCUUGGUCCAUGGACCUGGGGUCCGCAUAGUUCAUGGACAUAGUUGGCUUCACCCUUUCAGUUUCUAAGCAGUCUUCAAAGAAAGCAAGAAGUACGCAUCAGAGCUUAUCCUAGGAGAAAGUAAGACAGGAAGAUCCUGAGGUGGAGGUCUAUUCUUGCUUGGUUCUGAAGGCCCAGCUGAGGGGUACCGUGGAACUGUUCCCUAUCCCCUUCUAGCCUAGCCACACUUGAUGCCACUGGGUGACAUAUCAAACCGUACCAACAGAGGCCUGCACCUGCAGUGAGGCUCCCAUGCCCCUGCCCCAACUGUUGACUCCAUCCAUCGUUCACCCAAGGUGGUCUUGGCGGCCUCACACCUUCUGCACCUGCCUAGUCUAGCUUCACCACAUUUCCACACUUAGUAGGUCCCUGGGGCCGUGGGUGUUUCAGCCUCACAUCCUGUGAGACCUUGAGCCUCUCCCCUCUUCCCUCACAAGGCUGCCUUACUCCUACGCACACAGAAGCAGAGUAGACAGGUACAGUUCUGCCAAACCCAGAAGCAGCGAUUCUCAACCUGUGGGUCGAGCAGCCCUUUCACAGCGGUCAUAUUUAUAAUUCUUAACAGUAGCAAAAUUACAGUUAUGAAUAGCAGUGAAAAUAAUUUUAUGGCUGUGAGGUCACCACGGCAUGAGGAACUCUAUUAAAAAGUCACAGUAUUAGAAAGGUGGAGAACCACUGCCUUAGCAACUCAGAGCCAAGGUUCAAAUUCUAGUUUGAACAUGGAGCUAAUUCAGGCAAGCUCAUCUUAACUGGGCUUCAUUUUGACCUUCUAGCCCACUGGGUUCAAACCUCCCUUCCAUACAUGUGAGGCUAGCAAGACACAUCCACAGGGAUCCUGUUGGGAUUAGCCUCUCUCACCCCCAGAAGAGAGGCAGCAUUAGUCCUGUCCUGUAGACUUAGGUGUCUUGGGCCCCAUGACUGAGCUGUUGUGACCCUAGCACCUUCCUCAGGAUAUAGGAGCCAAGCAGGGGGCUGGGCUGAGUUGGGGCCACUUCCUGUGUUAUAGGAAGUCCUCUCACCACUGCCUCUGUCCCGCAGCAGCUGCCCCAGGAACCCCUGUGUCCUUGAGGUAUUAAGGCUGCGGGAGUGAGGGCAUUGAGUCUAGGCCUUGGGUGCUCAGCUCCUUAGGGACCCUGGAGGAAGUGGGAGGUACCAGGGAGGAAGGUCUCUGGGGACAGGACGUCCUCCCUUUGUCAAGUGGGCAAGACCCAGACACCAGUGGCUGCUUUGAUUUCCGUCCCAGUGGAAACUGUCUGUCCAAACUUUGGUGGCAACUCUCACUUUGGGCCUAGUUCCACAGCCAAGGUGUACAGGGGAGAACUAGGAGGCCUAGGUGCCCACUAGGCCCAGUCACUAGGAUCCCCCAGAGGCAAAGCAUCACAGCUUAGCCCUCAGCCUUGACCAGGGCUAAGGCUAGGAGGGGGCUGGAAACUUCAGCCCCAGGCAGACAAGGAAGUGGCCAGGAAAGCGGAAGCAGCUUUGAUGGUCCGGGAGGGGGCCGGAAGCCAAAUGGGGUGGUGGAAGACUGGGCUGGGGGCCUGAGUUCCUGUUUUCUCCCCAGGCCCAUCUAAGCAGCCCCCUCCUCCUGCAGUGCAGGAACCACUGAAACCUCAGCCUUCUGGCUGGGCACCAAGGACCCGUGCCCACCAAUGCGGCCCGGCCCCCAGAGAGUCAGGCCCACAGAGCACGCCCAUGUGGGCCGGCGGUGUGGGGAGCCCUCGGCGGGGCAUGGCCCCUGCACCUACCGAUGACCUCUUUGCCCGUAAGCUGCGCCAACCCGCCCGGCCCCCACUGACACCACAUACUUUUGAGCCAAGGCCAGCUCGGGGGCCACUCCUGCGCAGUGGCAGUGAUGCUGGUGAAGUCCGGCCUCCUACACCAGCCAGCCCCCGUGCCCGUGCCCACAGCCAUGAGGAUACCAGCCGCCCUGCUGCAACCCCUACUCGGCUCUUCACUGACCCACUGGCACUACUGGGGUUGCCAGCUGAGGAGCCAGAGCCCACCUUCCCACCAGUGCUAGAACCCCGAUGGUUUGCUCACUACGAUGUGCAGAGCUUGCUCUUUGACUGGGCUCCACGACCUCGGGCGACAGGCAGCCAUACCGAGUCUAACUCUGGGACUCUGGCCUUAGCUGAGGACCAGACUACCACCUCAGAUCUACUGCUCGGGGCACCUGGCUUUGUGAGCGAGCUUGGUGGGGAGGGUGAGCUAGGGCUGGGUGGACCAAUAUCCCCACCUGUGCCCCCUGCACUGCCUAAUGCGUCUGUGUCAGUCCUGGAGGAGCCACAGACCCGGACCACAGCUUACAGCCUGGAGCACGCAGAUCUGGGUGCAGGCUACUACCGCAAGUACUUCUAUGGCAAAGAACACCAGAACUUCUUUGGGCUGGAUGAGGCGCUGGGUCCGGUGGCAGUGAGCCUACGACGGGAGGAGAAAGAGGGCAGCGGAGGGGGCACCCUACACAGUUAUCGGGUCAUCGUACGGACCACGCAGCUCCGGACUCUCCGUGGCACCAUCUCGGAGGAUGCACUGCCUCCCGGCCCCCCGAGGGGCCUAUCUCCGAGGAAGCUUCUGGAACACGUGGCUCCACGGCUGAGCCCAACCUGCCUGCGCCUGGGUUCAGCCUCUCCCAAGGUGCCCCGCACGCUGCUUACUCUAGAUGAGCAAGUGCUGAGUUUCCAACGCAAGGUGGGCAUCCUGUACUGCCGGGCCGGCCAAGGCUCUGAGGAAGAGAUGUACAACAACCAGGAAGCCGGAGCAGCCUUCAUGCAGUUCCUCACCCUGCUGGGUGAUGUGGUGCGACUCAAAGGCUUCGAGAAUUACCGGGCCCAGCUGGAUACCAAAACGGAUUCCACGGGCACACAUUCACUCUAUACCACCUACCAAGACCAUGAGAUCAUGUUUCACGUGUCCACGAUGCUGCCUUACACGCCUAAUAACCAGCAACAGCUCCUGAGGAAGCGUCAUAUCGGCAAUGAUAUUGUGACCAUCGUGUUCCAGGAGCCGGGUAGCAAGCCCUUCUGCCCCACAACUAUCCGCUCUCACUUCCAGCACGUUUUCUUGGUGGUGCGUGCGCAUGCCCCCUGCACCCCACACACCUCAUACAGGGUGGCAGUGAGCCGCACACAGGACACUCCUGCCUUCGGGCCGGCGCUGCCAGAAGGCGGAGGCCCCUUUGCAGCCAAUGCUGAUUUCCGGGCCUUUCUGUUGGCCAAGGCACUCAAUGGUGAGCAAGCGGCCGGUCAUGCACGCCAGUUCCACGCCAUGGCUACACGCACACGUCAACAGUACCUGCAGGACCUGGCUACUAAUGAAGUGACCACUACUUCGCUGGAUUCGGCUUCGCGGUUUGGCCUACCAUCUCUGGGGGGCAGGCGCCGGGCAACCCCUCGGAGCCCAGGCGCAGAGCUGCAGGCGGCGGGCGCGCUAAUGUGGGGCGUGCGCGCGGCUCCAGGGGCGCGGGUCUCAGCGGGAGCUGAAACAGGCGGCCCAGACCACGCCGAGGUGCCAUGCUUGUUGGGCAUCUCAGCAGAGACCCUGGUGCUAGUGACACCUCGCGACGGCCGCGUGGUCUUCAAUUGUGCCUGUCGCGAUGUAUUGGCCUGGACCUUCUCAGACCAUCAACUUGAUCUAUACCACGGGCGCGGAGAGGCGAUCACGCUACGACUCGAUGGGGCCCCAGGGCAAGCCGUGGGCGAAGUCGUGGCACGUCUGCAGCUGGUGAGCCGGGGCUGUGAGACCAGAGAACUAGCCCUGCCCAGAGAUGGCCAAGGUCGCCUGGGCUUCGAGGUGGAUGCAGAGGGUUUCAUCACGCACGUGGAACGCUUCACGUUCGCGGAGACCACGGGGCUUCGGCCUGGAGCACGUCUGCUGCGCGUAUGUGGCCAGACGCUGCCCAAGCUGGGUCCAGAAGCUGCUGCCCAGAUGCUGCGCUCUGCGUCCAAGGUCUGCGUCACGGUCCUGCCCCCAGAUGAGAGCGGCCGGCCGCGAAGGAGCUUUUCCGAGCUGUACACGCUGUCUCUGAAGGAACCCAGCCGCCGUGCGGCCCCAGAGCCAGAACAAGAUGAGACUGAGAAGCUGGUCACCUUGCCCGCUGCAAAGCAGCUGCUACAUUUUUGCCUGAAGGACGGUGGUAGUCCUCCGGGGCCUGGGGAUCUCACUGAGGAGAGGACAGAGUUCCUGCACAGCCACAACUCCCUGUCACCUCGCAGCUCCAUGUCCGAUGAGGCUCCAGUCCUGCCCAACACCACUCCAGACCUCCUCCUCGUCACCGCUGUCACCACAUUGGCACCCGGUACUGACAGAGAGACGCCCCCUUCCCAGGACCAGUCGGGAAGCUCCAGUAGUCAUGAAGACACCAGUGACUCGGCACCAGAAUUGAGGGCCUCCAUCCUGCCCAGAACCUUGUCUCUUCGGAAUUCCAUCAGUAAAACCUUUCUCCUUUAUUGCAGUUAUGUCAGAAGCCGGCAGCGAGACCCUGGAGGAUGAGUGGCAGUCCAUCUCAGAGAUCGCCUCCACUUGCAACACAAUUCUGGAGUCACUGUCCCGGGAGGGACAGCCCAUCCUAGAGAGUGGAGACCCCAAGGAAACUUCAAAGUGUAAUUCUGAGCCAGAACCUGGGAGCCUGUCAGAAAAGGUCUCUCACCUAGAGUCCAUGCUGAGGAAGCUCCAGGAGGACCUGCAGAGG